rnacentral:lncRNA from 1 species
CCCUUGGCGCCGUACCUUAUUGGUACUGUGGCGAAGGGUGUGGGUGUGGCGAAAGGUGCCCAGAGGCUAGCCCCCCAGCUUGGACUUAACUCAUUUUCGCCCCCAGCCCUUGACGCCAUACCUUAUUGGUAUUGUGGCAAAGGGCCUGGGUGUGGCGAAACCUAUUCGCCCCUAGCCCUUGACGCCGUACCUUAUUGGUAUUGUGGCGAAGGGUGUGGGUGUGGCGAAAGGGCGUGGGUGGACAAAACCUGUACGCCCGCAGCCCUUGACGCCGUACCUUAUUGGUACUAUGGCGAAGGGCGUGGGCGUGUGGCGAAACCUAGUCGCCCGCAGCCCUUGACGCCGUACCUUAUUGGUACUAUGGCGAAGGGCGUGGGCGUGUGGCGAAACCUAGUCGCCCGCAGCCCUUGA